UUAUAAAAAAACUUGAUUGAAGUAAUCAAUUAAUCGCAUUAUAAAAACUUAGAAAUAGACAAAUAAAGAAAAAAAGAAAAAACGAAGAACGAAAUAUGGUACUUAUUACUUUCGUUACGGUCCUGGUUAAGUCGAUGGCCUGUAUGCACUCGAAUAGAAAAACACGCAUACGGAAGUAUAUAAGAAAUCCGUAGCACGAACUUCGGCGUUCCUUGAUAUUGAUAAAAGGAUUCCAGGAUAGUUUACUGGAUGAAGUUACGCAGUAAUAACCAGAGCCAAGCAGUUUAAAUUGGGCACUGCAACUGUUAAUCCGGCGAGUCUGGCCACCUGGAGUCGACAGCUACUUCAGAGAGACGUCAAAUUCAUAACCACUUGCGGUAUUACUAGCACCAACAGAUCUAAUUCUACAACAAUGUAUGGAGAAAAGUAAUAAAACUGACGUCUGAUUGGUUAAAAUAUAGGAAGACUGUUUUUAAUCUAAUUGAAAUGCAGAUGUGUAUUGCAUGUGGUGGAUAUUAUAGUCAAAAGCUCUGUUGUAUAUCGUUAAGUAGGUAAUAUACAUUUCUUUUUCCAUGUAAUCUUAUUUCCUUUUUUAAUAAUGUAAUUGGAAUGGGUGUAUAUGGUAGGCGAGGUGUUGCCGGUAUGAGAAAUGCUUAUUUGAAAUACCAUUGAACUAGAAAGGGGUGAUAAACUUUAUUUUAUAUUUGAUUAGCCUAAAAUUGACGCUUAUCCUAAGCUAAACAUUUAUUAAAAUUUCACUCGAUUCUUCUUGUAUCAUUUCUCCAUAACGUUCAGUUGAUAAAGUAUUUUCGUUUAACAAUAAGUUAUUCAUUGUUUAUUGGAAUUAAAUAAUAUGAUCGAAAUAUGUUUUCGAAUAAGAAGAAUAAUGUGACAUAUCAUAAUAAAUCGUAAUCAUUUAAUAUAUAUAUAUAUAUAUAUAUAUAU